AUACGUAGGGGGCGAGCGUUGUCCGGAAUGAUUGGGCGUAAAGGGCGCGUAGGCGGCGCGGUAAGUCUGGAGUGAAAGUCCUGCUUUCAAGGUGGGAAUUGCUUUGGAUACUGCCGCGCUUGAGUGCAGGAGAGGUUAUCGGAAUUCCCGGUGUAGCGGUGAAAUGCGUAGAGAUCGGGAGGAACACCAGUGGCGAAGGCGGGUAACUGGACUGCAACUGACGCUGAGGCGCGAAAGUGUGGGGAGCAAACAGGAUUAGAUACCCUGGUAGUCCACACCGUAAACGAUGAAUGCUAGGUGUGGGGGCGCAAGCCUCCGUGCCGCAGUUAACACAAUAAGCAUUCCACCUGGGGAGUACGGCCGCAAGGCUUAAACUUAAAGGAAUUGACGGGG
rnacentral:rRNA from 1 species